AAAAACCCGUGCUGGAAGCCGAAAACGGUGAGGAGCUCAUCCAUGUCCAGACCGGUGUUUCUCUUGCCCUCGCCAAUCAUUCUGCGGAGUUCCCUGGCACACUCUAUAUCUCUACUAAGAACACCGUAAUGGCGUUUGCAGGCAAGUGAUGUGGACAGGGCGAAAGGCUAUGCCGUUGAUUUCUCAUCUCUUUCUUUGCAUGCGAUAUCAAGAGAUCCAGAGGCUUACUCUUCGCCUUGUAUAUAUUCUCAGGAUUCAGCGCAGCACACUCACAGAAUACCUGGAACAAAGUAUCCACUGCCACAGAGAAAAUCAAAUCAACAAUGACCAACCCAACAAACAAGAAGCAACAUGCCACUAAUAAUUAACCACAAGAAUGUGGAAGAAUAAGGGAGAAAUUACAUUGGCUUGGGUCUGAAGGAAUGAACCUCAUCUCUGUGAUCUUUGUUAAGUCAAAAAUUUGAUCACAUUCUGCAUCAGAGCCCUCAGACUCAUCUUCAUCGGCUUCAGUCUCAAUCUUCAACAAGAUUAAUUAGAACCAUGUACCAUUAGAGAAGGAGUUGUAAUCUAAGAAUUGUAAAAACCGGGUCGUGAUUUCUUGUAUUAAGAUAAUUUAGUCCUCACUUGUGUUCUGCGUAUUGUAUUACUAUGUCAGUUCAUUAACUGAAAUCUCUUUCCUUUUCGAUUGAUUUCUUUUUCAGAAGAAGAUGGAGAACAACAUAAUUGGGUUUUUAGUGCUGAUCAGAUAGAAAAUGAGGAUGCAGAGGUGGAUUCUGAGUGGAAUUUCUCCCACAAUCCAACAAAUACUAUUGGCCAUUCAAAUGGGGGUCGUGAUUUAGCCCAAUCAAUACUUGAGCUUUGAGGAUGCAGAAGAGAUGGAACAUGAGAGUCACAGGGGCAUCAAUGAGCACUUUCCUUGAACGUAAUCCGUAGUCGAGGAAGCAAGCCUGCUUUCGUGUCCCGGGCUUGGAACCUCCGUCAUGUAAAUUUUUGUAGCUCUUUCAAUAUUCAUGGGCAAAAGAGUGGGAAUAUAUGUUGCUCUUUGGAUUUAACUUGGUCUUUGUUGUGAUGCCAAAAAACUCUGCGCUCGGCCAACUUGUAUCUUGUGUUGGUGUGCAAAGCUGUUCAUCAACUGCCUGGCACUACUAUGUGAAUCCAUAAAAUUUGAAGCCCUUUGGAGUCUAUUAUUUCGUUUAUGUUAAA